AUUGAACGCUGGCGGCAGGCUUAACACAUGCAAGUCGAGCGGAGAUGAGGUGCUUGCACCUUAUCUUAGCGGCGGACGGGUGAGUAAUGCUUAGGAAUCUGCCUAUUAGUGGGGGACAACAUUCCGAAAGGAAUGCUAAUACCGCAUACGCCCUACGGGGGAAAGCAGGGGAUCCUCGGACCUUGCGCUAAUAGAUGAGCCUAAGUCGGAUUAGCUAGUUGGUGGGGUAAAGGCCUACCAAGGCGACGAUCUGUAGCGGGUCUGAGAGGAUGAUCCGCCACACUGGGACUGAGACACGGCCCAGACUCCUACGGGAGGCAGCAGUGGGGAAUAUUGGACAAUGGGCGGAAGCCUGAUCCAGCCAUGCCGCGUGUGUGAAGAAGGCCUUUUGGUUGUAAAGCACUUUAAGCGAGGAGGAGGCUACCUGGAUUAAUACUCUAGGAUAGUGGACGUUACUCACAGAAUAAGCACCGGCUAACUCUUUGCCAGCAGCCGCAGUAAUAC
rnacentral:rRNA from 1 species